rnacentral:rRNA from 1 species
UGGGGAAUUUUGGACAAUGGGCGAAAGCCUGAUCCAGCAAUGCCGCGUGUGUGAAGAAGGCCUUCGGGUUGUAAAGCACUUUUGUCCGGAAAGAAAUCCUUGGCUCUAAUACAGUCGGGGGAUGACGGUACCGGAAGAAUAAGCACCGGCUAACUACGUGCCAGCAGCCGCGGUAAUACGUAGGGUGCAAGCGUUAAUCGGAAUUACUGGGCGUAAAGCGUGCGCAGGCGGUUUGCUAAGACCGAUGUGAAAUCCCCGGGCUCAACCUGGGAACUGCAUUGGUGACUGGCAGGCUAGAGUAUGGCAGAGGGGGGUAGAAUUCCACGUGUAGCAGUGAAAUGCGUAGAGAUGUGGAGGAAUACCGAUGGCGAAGGCAGCCCCCUGGGCCAAUACUGACGCUCAUGCACGAAAGCGUGGGGAGCAAACAGGAUUAGAUACCCUGGUAGUCCACGCCCUAAACGAUGUCAACUAGUUGUUGGGGAUUCAUUCCUUAGUAACGUAGCUAACGCGUGAAGUUGACCGCCUGGGGAGUACGGUCGCAAGAUUAAAACUUAAAUAAAUUGACGGGGUCAUAGCUG